AGGAACGAGUAGCGGUGGCUGAAGAACGAGCAGGAGCUUGAAUUUCAGUUUUCCUAUGAGGAAUUUUCCAGAAAAGAUAUCUUCACUGUGAAAUAACUAAAUAAAUGCCCACUCAGUACAGUCACUGUCUCCCUUUUGGAAUUUGAUGGCACCUUAAGCCCAGGUUUGCCUCCACUCUAGAAACUCAUCAGAGUGAUGCCCUUCUCAAAUGGGGGAGGUCCCAAAGGGGAUAUCCUGGCAGUGUGAAAAGCCGGCUAAAGGUUUGUGCCAAGAGGAUCUGUGGAAUGCAUCUCCUACAGCUGGUGCUGCUGAGUAACCACUCUGAUCUGGCAUCUUCUUUGGUCAAGUUACAGAGCAGAGUUUCCAGGGCUGGGGAUUGAAGUCCUGCCUCCUCCCUUUGUCUCUGGUUGUCCUCACUUUCCCUGAGCUCCAAACACAGAGCUGAGACUUCCACCUAAUGUAGAAAGCUAGCACGAGCCGGCGCUGACAGAUGGAAGACUUGAGAUGUUACAAGAUUAUAUAUGGAAACACAAAAGGAGUGGAGUUGCUGGGUCAUAUGGCAAUUCAUUUGAGGAACUGAGAAGCUUAUUCCAUGGAGGCUGAACUGUUUUAUAUUCCCACCAGCAACGUUAGAGACGGGGUUUCACCGCGUUAGCCAGAAUGGUUUCUAUCUCCUGACCUCAUGAUCCGCCCACCUCGGCCUCCCAAAGUGCUGGGAUUACAGGCGUGAGCCACUGUGCCCGGCCAAACGCUGGUAGGUUUUGAGUGAGACCACAUUAUAUUUAAAUAUAUUUACAAUGUUUUCUGCUCUAUUCUUUAGUAGACUUUUCCUCACGUGGUCCUGCGCAUUUCUUUCUAAGUUUAUUUUCAGAUAGCCUAUCCCUGUCUACAAUUUAAAUUGGGAUCUUCUAUAUUCUAGUUAUUAUUUGUAAAUAAGAAAACUACUGACUUUUUUCUAGUAUAUUUUCUCAGAAUAGGAUUUUCUAUUUUUCUAUAAAAUGACCAAUGUUAUCAAGCUUCGUAAGUUUUGUCAAAGUGAUACACACAUACAGCAAAAAAUCAAAUAGUACAGAAGUAUAAAAGCAACAACCUCUGCCUUGCCCCUUCUCCACCUUCAGGUCCCCUUCCCAGAUACAAUAAUUUUUAGCUUUUUAUUUUUAAUUAUUCUGGUUGUUACCUACAUAACUCUGGGCAAUAUGGAAAAGUUAUUGAUUUUGUAUAUUAAUUUCAUAAUCAGUUACCUUGAUGAAUUCUCUUGUUUCUAGUAGUUUUUCUUUAGGGUUUUAAAGGGAUACAAUCAUAUCAUUUGCAGUUAGUAACCAUUUUAUCUCCUCUUAUUUCCAACUUCGUACUGUUUUCUCUUGUCUAAUUUGUUUUUAAUUGGUGGGUACUUCUAGAACAAGGUUAAAUAAAAGUGGUGUUGGUGGGCGUCCUUAUUUCUGAUAUUAAUGGGAAUGAGUAUAAUGUAUAAAUAUAUAACCAUGAUUUUGUUUUUUUUCCAAGUUUUUAUCAGUAAUGAUUGCUAAGUUUAUCAAAAUUUUUUUGGCAUCCAUUGAGAGGAUUAUAUAUUACUCUUUGACACAUUAAUGUGGUUAAUUAAAGUAACCAACUUAUUAACCUUGAAAUAGUCUUACAUUAGUUAAAUAAACCCUACUUGUCAAUGCUAUAUCAUUAUUUUAAUAUUGUACUGAACAUUUUACAAAGGUGUUUCACCAUAAGGCAUAUUGAUCUGUAAUUUUUUUUUUCUGUUGAACUUGUUAUUGUCAGGUUUUGGUGUUUGUAUUAUGUUGGUUUUGGAGAAUAAAUUUAAAAGUUUCCUUUAUGUUAUCUAUACAUUGCCUGAAAAGAGUUUAAAUAGCAUUGAAAAUGAUCUCUUCUUUGAAGAUUUAACCAAUUUCACCUGUAAAUCUGUCUGUGCUUUGUAAUUUUGGUGAUACUGUUGACUCAAAUUCCAAAAGCAGUAAAUGCAGUGUUUUAUAUUUUUCUAUUAAAAAUGUAAAAUCAAAUUAUAUUA
rnacentral:antisense_RNA from 1 species